rnacentral:hammerhead_ribozyme from 1 species
UUAGCUGACGAGUCCCAAAUAGGACGAAAUGCACAUCUCGUAU